GACGAACGCGGCGGCGUGCCUAAUACAUGCAAGUAGAACGCUGAAGAGAGGAGCUUGCUCUUCUUGGAUGAGUUGCGAACGGGUGAGUAACGCGUAGGUAACCUGCCUGGUAGCGGGGGAUAACUAUUGGAAACGAUAGCUAAUACCGCAUAAUAGCAGUUAUUGCAUGAUAACUGUUUGAAAGGUGCAAAUGCAUCACUACCAGAUGGACCUGCGUUGUAUUAGCUAGUUGGUGGGGUAACGGCUCACCAAGGCGACGAUACAUAGCCGACCUGAGAGGGUGAUCGGCCACACUGGGACUGAGACACGGCCCAGACUCCUACGGGAGGCAGCAGUAGGGAAUCUUCGGCAAUGGACGGAAGUCUGACCGAGCAACGCCGCGUGAGUGAAGAAGGUUUUCGGAUCGUAAAGCUCUGUUGUAAGAGAAGAACGAGUGUGAGAGUGGAAAG
rnacentral:rRNA from 1 species